CGGGAAUUGAUACGUGUCAUAUAGCGACUUAAGCAGGUCGGCAAAACGGAAAUAUCGAAUAACUGAUAACGUUCGAAGGGUUUGACUGAAGGAAAGAAAGAGAAAAAAUUGGUCUAAAUAAGAAUUAUCAAGAUAUACAACUCAUGGAAGAAGACAAAUUUCAUUUGUUUAACGUCGUACACGUGAGGUAACAACACGUGACUGGUCGAUUAAGUCACAGCUUUGAUCGGUUGAAAUGAACAGGUGAUAUGCGUGCCGACUUGCCUCGUCAUUAUUAUUCAUUUUCUGAUAAGUGAGAAAUUCUUUAUCGUCUACAGGACAAUGGCCACGAUCGUCGUAACAAUAUGAAUAACCAUGUUCCCACAUGAUAUUUGCUUGGAAAUGUGCCAAACAAACCACCCACUACAGUCUACAAGAGAUACAAGUGUGGGUAUAAAACACUCACCUUAAACCAAUGUCGAUGUCCUACAUUAUGCUCGGGUUGAUUUGCCAACACGUAAUGCCAGCUUUUAUGCUCAGCUAAAAUUCAGAAAACUAUUUAGGUUCAGUUAACUGCUCACUACUGUUGAUGUAACGCGAUGAAUUCACAAUAUGCAAGCAGACGACUUUUCAUGUAGAGAAUUUAGAGCGCUCUUAGCGGAGCGAAUGUUUUCAACAUUUUUAACACGGAAAGAAUUUCAUAAAAGCAAUUACCUAUCCUCAUUAUUGUAAUUCUAUGAUGAAAGAAAUAUAACAAGUCCAAAUACUAAAAGAAUAAUAAUACCUUUAGAUCAAAGGUGUGAAAAGGUAAUCUUCUUGAGAAAAAAAAAAAAUGGGGA